rnacentral:rRNA from 1 species
AGUCUGGUGCCAGCAGCCGCGGUAAUUCCAGCUCCAAUAGUGUAUACUAAAGUUGCUGCAGUUAAAAAGCUCGUAGUUGGAUUUCGGUUAAUGAAAAGUUAGUCCACUUAAUAUAUAAGUGCGUACUGACGUUUUAUUUCCUUCUUUUCAGAUAUACAACUUGUUGUGUUCUGAAUCUUUUACUUUGAGAAAAUUAGAGUGUUCAAAGCAGGCGUAACCAAGCCUUUGAAUAUAUUAGCAUGGGAUAAUGGAAUAAGACUUUUUGCCUUAUUUUCGUUGGUUCUUGAGGCUAAAGUAAUGAUUAAUAGGGAUAGUUGGGGUCAUUAGUAUUUAAUUGUCAGAGGUGAAAUUCUAAGAUUUAUUAAAGACUAACUACUGCGAAAGCAUUUGACAAGGAUGUUUUCAUUAAUCAAGAACGAAAGUUGGGGGAUCGAAGAUGAUCAGAUACCGUCGUAGUCUCAACCAUAAACUAUGCCGACCAAGGAUUCGGGGGUGUUAUAUGAAUGACCCUCCGGGCACUUAUAGAGAAAUCAUAAGUAUUUGGGUUCCGGGGGGAGUAUGGUCGCAAGGCUGUAACUUAAAGGAAUUGACGGAAGGGCACCACCAGGAGUGGAAUAUGCGGUUUAAUUUGACUCAACACGGGAAAACUUACCAGGUCCAGACACAGUGAGGAUUGACAGAUUGAGAGCUCUUUCUUGAUUUUGUGGGUGGUGGUGCAUGGCCGUUUCUAGUUGGUGGAGUGAUUUGUCUGGUUAAUUCCGUUAACGAACGAGACCUUAACCUAUUAAAUAGUUACACAUACUUGGGAUUCGUCCUAAUAGUAUGUGGUUAACUUCUUAGAGGGACUCUUCACGUAAAGAGUGAAUGGAAGUUUGAGGCAAAAACAGGUCUGUGAUGCCCUUAGAUGUUCUGGGCUACACGCGUGUUACACUGAUAUAUUCAACAAGCAUUAUAAUUCCUUACCCGAUGGGGUUGGGUAAUCUUUUAAAUGUAUAUCGUGAUGGGGAUAGACCAUUGUAAUUAUUGGUCUUGAACGAGGAAUUCCUAGUAAGUGCAAGUCAUUAGCUUGCGCUGAUUACGUCCCUGCCCUUUGUACACACCGCCCGUCGCUCCUACCGAUGAAUGGUCCGGUGAGGACUCAGGAUGACCGUGGAUUUUGGUAUAAUAUACCAUGCCAUUGUUUGUCAGAAUCUGUUCAAACCUUAUCAU